CCAGGCUUGGAGGUGACUUGGGAGCCCUAACACUGAGGCUUCUUUCACCUUUUUUUUACAACUGAACUAUUUUAUACACACCUCAAUAAUAUAGCAGUGAACUUUUUUAGUAUAGGUAAGUGAUUACUUAAAAAAAUCAGAAGGUGCCCCACAAUAACAGAAAUGCAGCUGUCUUCAGACUACAGCACCCCUUCUCCCCCAUGGCAGCAGCAGUUUGACAUUCUGCCAUCCCGCCUCCUCCUAAACCCACCAUGGGGACAUGAAGAGAUACGAGUUACAGAAGUAAUAAUACAGUAAUAAUACUUUUUGUUUAUUUGUUUGUUUGUUUUCCCCUGAAAAUUAACAGACAAAGCUCAAGUAUAAUCAGACUACAUUGUACAAGCAGUCUCAAAAAACACAAAACUGUAGGGUAUGAGGUGAAUGCUCCUUUUUUUUUUUUUUCCCCUCUACCUAGAAUAUUUGAAAUUUGAACCUGAGGACACUCUGUACCUGUUUUCAUAGCCCUGAGCGCCUUGCAGGGAAGCAUUUCAUAAGCGUGCACUCUAUUCUUUUGAACUCCAAACAUCUGUCUUAAGCAUCUGCUUUUAAUCAAAGUGAAACCAAUGGCCUCCUUCAGUGGACAAUGUGGUACAGAUAAAAAAAGGCCGAUGGUGUACUGACUGCAAAGCCCUCAGCUUUCUUACUCUCACUUCAGAUCCUUUGCCAAAGAACCUUGCUUGUCAUUUCAGUUUUUCAGCAAUAACCCAAAUUUAUUGGUCAAAAUUUUGGGGAUUCUUACUGCAAAGGUCAUAUAUAUAAACAUAUUUUGGGGGAUUAAUUUUCUUGCUCUUUUUCUAUUAGCCAUAUGCACAAGCUGCUUCAAAAUAAAAGAUUAAAUUGUUCAUGCAAUGUUAAAAUAUAGUUUAUCAUCUUUGAAGGGUUUGGAGACAAAUGUUUAAUGCGGUAUGUUCUGAGGGGAGUUAACCACAUAAUUCCUGUUAACAAAGAAAAAUGAUUAAGCAGUUCAAAGUACGGUGUUUAAAAAAUACUCUGAAUGUCCCAAAUAUAUAUAUACACUGUGCUUCCAAAGGCCACAUUACCUGGAAAUAUAAAUCAUUUUCUAGACAUACCUGACAGCUUUUAAAAUGUUAAUUUCUGCUUCAAGAAGCACUUUUUGAAAUAAAACUAGGUUUCUUCCAACUUUACAUCACACAAUAAGGUAUAUGAAAACAUCGGAUUUAAGUCAAUGAAAAAGAGAACACAAUCUGAACUGCAGAGCCAUUUCUAUAACAUUGUCCAUUGAAGAAGAUAUACUUCAGUUUUUAUUCCAUAACAAAGAAAUCAUAGGCAGUCUCAAUGCAGAAAGACAUUACUCCUGACCUCCACAUACGAAAUGCCAGAUGCUCUCCAUAGUUCUCUAUCUCAACAUGUGUUCUGAUUGACAGACGUAUUCACAGUUUCUUAGAAAAAGAAAUUAUUGUGAAGACUUAGUAUAUCAGAGAAGAUAUGAAUUUUCUCAAAUGCUUUUUCAUGGGUCAGACAUUUUAACGUUCCUAAAAAUGCUGGCAUACCUAAAAUAAUAUUUCCUGUAUAAUAGUCCUGUGCAAUAAACUACUCAGGCACACUUUGUUACUUACUCUUUAGUACUCAGAUGAAGGUGAGCAUUCUCAUUGUCAGAAUGGCCAGGAGGAGACUGGACAACCAGUCUCUUUCUUCCUGUGACAGUAAACCAAACCACGCUAAGGCAUGAAUCUGAUUACUGUCCCAGUCAACAGAUUGUUGUUGCCAGCGCGGACCACAGAAUACUCCGGCCAGCUAGCACUCUCCCAAGCAACACCUGGACACAAUCCAGGGUUUAGCAUAGUCCAGUGACCAUUCCUAAUAGACAGUGUAAAUGGGGCUGUUUUAUAGGGUAUGAAAACUGAAAUUAUAUACAUGAGCGAUGCCAGCUGAUCUCAGUGACAAGUCCUUCAGGUCCUUAAAUUUUAUUUUAUAUUUUAUUUUUUUUAUUUGCUAUCUAGAGCAUUCUCCAGGUUCUGCUGUUGAUCUGCUCUCUAACCCCUCUCAGCCUCAGUUUAUCUUUCUCUUCAUAAUGGUUAGUUAGUGACAAAUGCUUCCUGUUGUCAGACACAAAAAAAUGCUGAGAGUUCUAGGCAGAAUUAGAUCCACUCUAUUUUCUAUAACAGUCUGUCAAACUAAUAAGUUAUGUCAGCAAUAUGACCCUGAAGAAUGUUGUAAAAAUAUUAUCUUUAUAGUAUAGGAAACCUGGAUAAUGAUCAAAUUAUAUUAAAGACAGACUGGUUAAUUCUCUGGGACUUGUGUACAUAAGAGAGCCCAGUUUUUAAAAACGUUAGUAAUUACCAUCAGAUACCCCUAAUUCAUAGCAGACAAUUUUUUUAAAGUAAAGCAAGACAUGAUUGGUAGGUAUUAGUUUUUCUCACUUGCUGGCUGAAGCUGAAGACAUUGUCUGCCUAGAAAAAACGCUGGUAUUUCUGACACUCUUCAAACUCAAUUUUCAAUAGAUUGUCAAGUCUUCUUGUAUGACUGUGCACUGAAAUAGGCUUCAUAACCUCUUUCAUACCACACAGAGGGACACAUGGGACCACAAAUCAUUGUAAAUCAACAUGUAUGACAACUUCCAAACCUCUGGGAUUUUUAAGGACAACACUAGUUAUUCCAGGCAAAAACUAAGCCAAGGAGUAUUUAAUAAUAGCUUAAUAAUAUGGGCAAUUGACUUCCAUCUCCAGUACCAGUGUCCUGGCACUUCCUAAUUUACUGUUAGAUAUAGACCUGUUGUGUGGAAUGGAUCAUAAAAAUGUUACAUUUGUUUCUGAACAUCAUAAGCCAUACCGAUGAGUCACAAGCUAAUUCCCUGCUCUUCUAAUUGUAGAGUUUCUGUAACUGUAACUGACGUCAUAGACAGACACUACUAAUUUUCUGCAUCAUCAGUUAUUUCAAAAAUUUUAUCAUAUUUGGUGUCUCCACAAUAAGGAAAUCCUCUGUGUUAGUAAAAAUUUAUGAUAUUUUCUUUUUACUCUGAAUACAAAUAUACUUUCUUCAGCUUUUUGCUAAAUUGCAUUUACCUUGCUUGUAGCUGGUAAAUAGAAAAAAGAAAAAAAAUGUAUUCUGUUAUAUAGAAAUGUUUGCAUCAUCUGUUAUCUAUCAAUGGAAGUAUAUAUUUUUUUCUGUUUCUUAGAAAGCUGGGAAGGUUAUUGCUAUUUUAUGUACUGAGGUCUGUUCACAGGACUUGGUUCUCGUAAAAUUAAAGGGUGAACUGGUGUCCAAUGCUGGUAUAAAUCAGGAGAAAAGCUCUAAUUAACAUCAAAAAACUUUGGACUAGUCUAACACUGACCUCACUGUUCUCUUGUACUGUUGUUCCCAACUGAACCAAGAAUACACACACAGGUACUGCUUGAUCCCAUGGUGUUAGUGAUGCCCUGCUAGAAUCUGGUAGAUGAUGCUUUCACUCAGUCUGGUUACACUGAAUCGUAUUCCUGAUGUAAUCACAGCUUAUCCCUGUAUGUCCAGGGAUAUAUGAGUAUACCAGUACUGAUAUCUACUAUAUCAGUAGAAUCCAUUCUAGACUCACAAACUGGAUAGUGUUAUAGAAGCUAUAUGUUUCUCCCACUACUCCAGCAUUAUUUUUACAUUGUUGCCCAUUUGUUGUUGUUGUUUGUUUGUAAAGCUAAAAGCAGGUUUGCAACCCUGGACUUUCAGAGAUAAUUUGUCUCCUACUGAGGAAAGUUUCUAAAAACUCCAAGCAAACUACUUUAAAAGAAACAAAAAAAGAUAUUAUUUCUCUUGAAUUUAUAAAACCUGAACAUGAUUUCCUCAUUUUCUCCCUGCUGCACAAAAUAGAAACUUAGUGCCUCAAAUAAACCCACUUUGUUAUCCAGAGGCAGUAUAUGACUAAUAUUUUAUACAGAAGACAAGCCAGACAAUUUCCCAUUAAAGGAAUUCACAUGAAUGCAGAUGUAUCCUUCUUUCCCAGCUAUAAUUUUUAUUAGUUUUUGAAGAAAAUCCAAGUACAAAUGUACUAAACAAUAAUGAUAAUAGCAUAGCAGGGUAAAUGCUUUCUUGGCAAACACCUUGCAAGUACAUCCUUGUUGUUUAUAUCUUCAGCAUCUUGUGUUGCAUCACAUUGGCAUCCUAUCACAAUCAACCAGUUUGCAACAUGGUUCACUGUCAGGUGUUCGAUAGCAACAAACUCUGAAGUGUGUGAUAGACCCAUUGCUAUGGACUGACCACCUCCUCUUUUUUCCAUCAUUGCACAUCUUUACAACUUCAGAGGGCAUAAACUGAUCCCAAGGAAGUGCUCAAUAUCUUAUCAUCUUUCAAACUGCUCUAUAACCUCUUGAUUGUUAACCAUUUUGGGGGAUUAAUGGACUCUAUUUUGGGAGCUGGAAAUAUUUUCCACUUUCACAGAUAAGAUGUUGGGUUUUGAUUGUUCUUCUCUCUGAUUUUUCCAGUUGUUUGUGCUGAACCUAGAUGACCUUUUUCUUUCUCUCUGUUUAAAAUUAGGAGUGGAUAAACAUAGCAAACAAAGUUGGAAGGCACAAGGUCAGGGGAGUCUUUCUCUUUAGAUGACAUUUUUCACUUCAUUUGGAUUAAAACUGUGCAAUGUGCACUUUUCUUUUUUGAUGAGCUGUCAGUGAUCAGCCUAACCAGAUGUACUCACGGUGUUUUGCGUGUGUGAAAGAAAGAAAACAGAACUGUUUCACUGUAUUCAUUCAGAGACAUGAAAUCUUGACAGAGGAAUUGCAAGUGAUGUCAUCAUGUUGAAGAUCCCUGUCAUGGGCAAGCACUUUUAGUAUUUCCUCCCGACACCAGAAAGAAACCUUUUUUUCAUUGUAAUAAAAUCUACCUGCAAACCUGGGAGGACUUUCCAAGGGCAUUUUCAGCAAAUUAGUUCCUCACAUUGAUAAAGCUUGGAGAAAGAAUUACAGACCAGAACAGAAAUGAUCUAAAAAUUUUUGAGCUGAAACUGGAAAUCCAAAGCUUUGGAGCUCUAUUCAAUGUCUUACUUUCAUUCCUACCUAUCCUAAAACAUACUUCCUUGCAUGAAGCAAAAAAAAAAAAAUCAAUAAAACAUAUUACAUAAAACAGUUGAAUAGGAGUUUUACAUCCCUAAUAUUUUCCCAGAGAAUAGAUAAAGGUUUUUUUUUUUUUGUUUUGUUUUUUUGUUUGUUUUUUUUUUUUUGCAUUGAACACAAGCUGUUGCAGGGACAAGGCAGUGAAAAAAGGAUAGGUUACAGAUACCACACACAUUAAGUCUUACGUAAUAUUUUAUGCAGGUUGGAGAAUUUAAGUCAAUUAAAUCAAAUGAGUAAUUAACCUUUUCUCCUUCUUUUAAUAUAUUCAUCUUCAAAUUCAAUUUCUAUGGUUGUCUUCCUAUGAGUGACAUUUAUCCUUGGGCAGAGGACAACAACAGUUUUAAUACAACAUUCAUCUCCUAUUGUAAUGUUUUAGAAUGCAACCAUCAUCAGUUUUGUCUUGAAUGAACUAGACUGGAUGCAAACCCCAGAGGGAUACUGAAGUUGCAGGAUUACCUUCCUAAUGGGUGAUCAGUAACACAAGGAAGGCAACAAGAACAUUUAUGGUCCCUUUUGUUCUUCUAAAUCCAUAUCAGUAAGUCAUAAAUAAAUUUUGAAAAUUUUCAGCCAUUCACAGUUAAUGUGAACAAAUUAUUCAUCCAAAUCACAAAAUAUUUUUCUUGAUUACUCACUAUGUAAGGUUUUUAAAUUUUCUUUUAUUUUAUAAUGGAGGAAGAAAGAAAAAAAAUCAAGAUAGUGAGAAGGACACUCUUUUUCUUAGAACACAUAUAUGUAUAAACAGGCUUCAUAUGUUCACACCAUGAAAAUAAAGUUGAAAUCAAAAACAGUCCACUUAUAAUUAAAAUACAUAAAUCUCAUUACUUCUAAGAAAUGAAAAUACAGAAUGAAUUCCUCUUCUAGUAGUAUUGUUCUUAUCAUCAGAUAUGCAGAAAAAAUAUGUUCUUAAAUAGCUGUUAAAACAAUGAAGAUCCCAUUGGCAUUAUUUAUAAAAUUGAAAAGCACUGCUCUUUUCUAAACCAUGAGCCCCAUGGAUCUGGGGGGAAACAAGUCCACCUUUUUAAGCUGCAGUGAUUCAGAAUUAUGGCAAUUGCAGUAUUCUUUACUGGUUUCUGAGUCAACGUUUGUGGGAAUAUAUUGUUUCAAAGUAGUUCGUGGGAUAUAAUUUUCAAAGGGAUGUAUGAAAACCAUACACUUCCUAUUAACGUUAAUGGGGAAUUGUGUGGCUAAAUACAGCUUUGAACAUUCUGGUUAGAGGUUUAUAUCUUACUGAGCUGCACAUGGUUCCCCUGCUCUAAGCAGAUGUUGUUUUUAUAUAUUGCAGAAGAGUCCUGCUGUGGAUCAGCAGACACCAUGUUGAAUGUUUCCUUCUACUAUAUACUUCACAGGUAUCUCCAAUAGGAGAGAGAGGCCUUUUGUCUAUUAGCUACUCUAUUUCAUAGGCUUAGCUUAUUAACUGUACAAUAUAGCUAUCAAUUAAAAUACAAGAAACUUCCUCAUACAAAAUCAAAACAGUUUACUCAAAGCAACUCUGUCAUGCUCUGCCAACUAGCCUAAGUAGCUUAAGUAGCUAUUGUGUGGCACUCAUAUCAGACCUGCAAACCACUGUGGAAGGUGCUCAGUUAGCUUUACUCACUAAUUGCAUCCUCAGUGAAAAAUUUUGCUGUUUGUUUUUGCCCCAGGUGAUAAUGCAUGAUACAACAUUACAUAAUUAUAGUAUGCAUCACUUGAAACUGUGUGUGGACUAAUGGGAUGCCAUGCAAUACAGGGUGGAAAGAAACUAAUAACAACGUGAUGAGAUAGUAUGAAAAAUUAUUGUUUGAAUAAGUGUAUACAAUGAAUUAACAUUCACAUUAGCCAGCUAGCAGUGAGCUGGAAGCUGCUGCGGUUAAACUCUAAGCUACCUCAGCUAUAUCACAUAACAUGUUAUACUAGAUUUUAUAUCAUUAAUAAUCUAUACUUGCCUCCUUAAACAUUUUUUUUGUAUAUAUUUAAACAAAUAAUCUUUUUUUUUUUUUAAUAUUUUUUUUUCUCUUUGACAAACACUAAAAUGUAAGGUGUGCACUGUGGAUAGGCAAUUCAUGCCCUAGGCGACCUAUUAGAUGAUUAGGAUAAUUAGGCGACCUCUUAGGUGAUUAGGAUAACAGUGAGCACUAGAAAGGUUCCAUGGGACUUUUCAGCAACAAAAAAAUCAACAUAUCGCUUUCUCUUCAUAUCUCUGCAGGUGUUCAAAGACUUAUUUUAUUCCAGAUAUUAGUCUUGCCAACUAAUUGUUUUUAUAACAAUAGCUUAUGCAGAGCGUGGGAAACCAGGCUUUUACGUUUUCACUGCCUAUGUCCUGAUUCAGGACUCAGCACAGAGAUCCAAGAUAUGUAAUAGCAUUCUGGAAUCAUAAUGACUAAAUUACAAGCUCAGUAAUACACGGUAAUGCAUAACAUAAAGCUUAAUUUAUUGCCUUAUAUUUUUCUUCCUCUUUUGCAGGGGGAAAACCAUGAACAUUUAAAGAAUACAGUUUUCUCUUCCAACUGUCUUUUGCUUACUGGUCCGUAUAGAAAAUGUUUAUUGUCAUUUUAAAGUGCAUAUGAACUCUUCAAAAAGAAAAGCCCUAUGCACUUUAUCUCCAGCUCCAGAAGCAGUUCAGCUCUCCUAAUUUGCUGAAAUGACAGAACUGAUGGACACAAUAGCUUCACUAGGCUGGUCUUUCCAUUGGAAACCAAUGAAAGUCUUUGCAUUAUCAUCAAUGACCUUUGGAUCAUUCUCAAAAAAAAAAAAAAAAAAGGGUGUUUUUACAAAUCAUUCCAAGCUAAAUAAUGACUUUAGACCAGAACAUCACUGAGAUCAGGAUGAUUUAAAUUUUCACUUUAAAUUGGAAUAUUAUCUUAAAUUUAAUUACAUAUUUUUUCAUUAAAAUAUUACUUUAAUUAGUGAGAUGUGUAUUGAUUACUUUUGGAAAAACAAAAUUUCCACCUAAUGAAUAGUUUUAUGAUCUUAUGCAUUGUAUCAAAUUCAAAAAGUGUCAGUGUUUAAGAAUCUUUUGUUCUAUUUAAAUUGUAAACUUUUAUUUAAAAAAUAAAUGAAAAGUGUUACAGCUGAAAUAUAUAUAUAUUAUUCAGAAUAUUCUUAUUUUUUUAUGUCAGAAAAUGUUAUUGGAAAAGUUUAUUUAGCUAAACACAGAUUUGAUCCCAUAAUUCACUCAGAAUUUUUCCUGAGAAUUAUAUUGAACAGGUAAGUAAUAUGAGUGUCUUUUGUUUUCAAUUUGCUAUUAUGGAACUUCUCUAGAGAUCAGGUCACUUGAAAGAUCACUGUGAAAUGGAACUGUCUUUUUUUUUUUUAAAUUGUGGAAAAUAUAGCACUACAGAAUUAAAUGUUUCAUUUGUUAGAUUAUAUUUUAUUCCACAUUUUUAAUUCUUAGAUCUCACCUAAUUUACAAGAAAAACAAUAAUCCAAUGAAAAGUUUGUCUUUUAUGUGCAAAAAUGUAAAGGCUGAAAUGCUUUAUCAGCCCUGAUAUUUCUACUCAUAGCUCAAAUAGGUUCUAAUAUGCAAAGAAAAAGCAGAAAAUGUUUUUUUUCUUUUUUUUACAACAUUCCUUCAGCCAUGGUUUAUUGUAGGUAUCACUAGCAGGCAAAAAUAAGUAAGUUGGUAGAAAGAUUUUCCUAACCAUUAACAUAUUUGCAUUCAUUACACCCUUUUAAAAUGACACUUAGUUAACAUAUAUAUUCAAAGUUAGUUGAUGAUAUAGAUCAACUUAAUGGGGUUUUAUUUCCUGAAGGCUGCAAAAGGCUCAGAAUUCAGGCAGGCAAUAAUAAUAAUAAUAAUAAUAAUAAUAAUAAUAAUAAUAAUAAUAAUAAUAAUAAUAAUAAUAAUAAUAAAAAACAAAAUACUUGAAUAUAGCCUUAUUUACUCAUUUGUUCUGUUCAUGUUAUUCUGAUAAAUCUCUUAAAAGAAGGAGGUGCAUAUUUUUGAAACUCAUUCCUAAUGAAAUCAACCUCACACCUUUUCAUUCACAGAAGCCACCUUCCCAAAUUCUUUUUCAAUUUUGGCACCUGUGGAUGAACAGGUUGCUUUAUGGCAGAGUGUAUUUUUACAAAUACAGAAAAAAUUGACAAGAAGAUGCUGCUAUCAAAUUCUGAAUAUGAAGUAGCAACCGGUCUACAGGCUGGGAUUUAGCUGAUUUAAGUCAUAAAACAUUUUUACCAAAAACAGCGUCACUGAUGCACACAGAUCUUUGAUCCCCUGUUUUUCAGAAGAAAAAGGCAUAGUAGGUGAAAAUUCCCAAUUAAUUCUAUUCCUUACACUCAUGUUUUAUACCAUUUUACAUCUAUGACAGAACUUUCCAAAUUAUUUACCACAGUUGUUCUAUUGUUCCUUAUUCAUCCAAAUAUCUUUCUCUUAUCGUUUGUUAAUGGGACAUUUCCUCCAAACAUAUUAGAAAGAGCAGACAAAAUUAUGCAUCCUGCACAAAAUAUUCAUCUGAUUUGUUAAUCUGAGCAUGGAUAAAUUUCAGCAUAAACAAGGGUUUUAAAAUUGAGAUAGCUAAGAUGCCAUUGGGAAAAAAAUAAAAAUAAAAAAUUGGCCAUCAGUUGAAAGGGAAAAAAAAAAAAGUGCCACAAGUGUGUCUAGUCAUCUUACAACAGACAUACAACCCACAACUGGAGCAAUAAACAAUAUUUUCUUUCUAAUCCUUAGAAACAGUUCAGACAGUUCAAUGUCUGAAUGUUUUUUUCUCUGACUGGACAACAAAAAUUUAGAUUAUUCAAUGUGGGAAGGGAGCUUUUUUCCUCAAUUCACCCUGACAACUCAGUGAUGCAAAAAAACAUAUUUCGUACAUGGGAGCAAACAAUUUGCAGCUAAAUUAUGGAAACAGAUGAAGUGUACACUGCUCUCAGUUCCUCUCAGUAUUUAUUGCUCUUUGUGGAUGAAAGCUGAACAGAAUUGUUUGGAAUUACAUUAAAACUGUGUCUUAAUAAGACAAUAUGCAAUAGUCGUUUAUAUGACUUCCAAGUGAUUUCAAAUCAGCAUUACAUUUCUAACAUUACUGUAAUACACAAGAAGGGGUAACUUCUAAAAUAGAAAGAAAUGAAUUGAUUUAUUUAAGACUCAAACUGCAACUGAUCAGUACACCAUGCAGGACACUCUGUAGUCCUCCUCUAGAAAAAAAAUUAUAGAGUGAUUCUAUAAAUAUCAUAUCCAUAAAAAUCUUUUCAGUGAUUUCAUUAAACCAUCUUAGGGUUUUACCUGGAAAUAUUGUAGCACAGUGGCUUAAAAAACCACUUAGGGCAAAAGACAUUUAAUUACUGGUUUUAUAAAAAGUUUCAAUAAAAAUAUUGUGGCUUUUUGUUUAAACAUCUCGUGCAGAGCAGAGAAACCAAAGAUAACAAUGUUGAGUUCAUGGUGAGAAGCAGGAAGUGAAAAAUCAACGCUAAAUAGAACUGGGAGCAAACUCGUUUUAUUGUCCAGACAGACACAAAAUUUAAACAAAUAGUUUAAAUAGUGAAGAGCACAUUGCAUCCAACAUUUUUCUGUACUAAUUAACACAACGAUCUUUUAAUGAAGCUUUUUUUUUUUUUUUUUCUUUUUCUUUUUUCUUUCCCUAAUGUUUGCUUUUAGAACUAUUAACAUCUCAGGCUUAAGAAAUCCCUUCUGCAAAUGUCAGUUUCAAAUUGUGGAAGGUGCUGGAGCUGAGAUUUUAGCUCCUCAUUUUAGAUUUUUUUUUUUUUAAUUAUUAUUAUUAUUUUUUUAGAGAGAUUUUAGCUCCUAGUCCUUAGAACAAUAAUUUUAUUGUUUAGGCAGACCUUAAAGUUAAGCCUUGGUAUUAGAGAGUUGUAUAGAUCUAUCACAUCCCAGAAAACUUGUGCCUGGAGGUACACAUUCCUUGAUAACUAGUUGAAAACUGUGUGAAAUUAGUCACCUUUGCUAUAAACACUCACAACACAAAGCACACAUUUUUUCAAAUGCGUGUGUUGUUGUGUUCAGAAAAGAGUAAGGUAUUGGGAGCUCUUCAUGACUUGUUCUUAUUUCUCAUUUGACAGUGAGAUGACAAACUGUCACAGAAAACCUGUCCUCUUUCCUAACAAAUGUUUCUUUUCCAGUCUCUGUGGAGAAAAAUUUAUUUUCUGUGAAUUUCAGUGGAAACUUAAUCGUUUGUGCCAACUGCUUCUUCACCUUUGGGCACCACUGGGAAUGUCUCCAUCUUCUCUACCACCCCCCAUCAACUCUAUACACAUAUUGAUCAGAACCCAUCCAAGACUUCUCUUUUCCAGUCUAAACAAUACUAACUCUCUCAGUAUCAUCUCAUAUCAGAUGCUCCAGUCCCUUACAUAUCUUCAUGACCUUUCUCUGAACUUGCUCCAGUAUAUCCAUACCACUCAUGUACUGGGGUCCCCAGAACUGGACCCAGCACUCAAGAUGUCUCAUCAGAGAUGAAUAGAAGGACUUGAUCCAACACCAUGUUCCAGAGAAGGCUUCCUACAGAUACCAUUGCUAUUAUCACUAUAAAUGAGGUGUGUCAGAAGAAGAUGAUGAUGCUGCCUACCUUGACUGGGUAAGGCC